AGUUCCUAAAAGAAACACCAUCAGCUGGAGAGCAGGGCCCACCCCAGCUGGUGCCUCCCUGACACCAUCUGCUGUCCAGGACGCAGGGUGGAGGACAGAGGGUGGAGUGGAGCCAUGGAACCCAGCCAGUUGUUAAAACAGUUCUGGUUUGACCCAGCUUAUUCUUUGGAGAGGCAGUGAAUGGAUCAACAUUUCCCAUCCUGAAUGAAUGAAUGGCUUUGGGCAACACCCACCAGUGGUGGCCAGUGCUAUUCCUCUCCUGAUGGAUGAGCACAGGCUGCUGAGGAGGUGGCCUUGCCAGUAAAACAUAAAAAUCCUCCCUGAACAGGACCGGGCAUCUGUCUGUAACCCCCAUCUACGGGAAAUACUGGAGACAGAGGAACAGGUUCAAAGACACCAAGGAAAAGUCAACUUGUAAAAUCCAGACCUUGGGGAAGGCAACAGGAUAAAUAUCCCAGUUUCUUCAACAAACACCCUGUGAGAGGAAAAGGGAGACAACCUACAGAUGAACAGAAACUUUAAAGACUUGGGUUGCAACCACGACGUGCUGCCUUUAGUUAGAUCCUGACUCACACACAGAGACGAGCAAAAGAUACAUUCUAAGCUUUUUACAGGUGAAAGACCCUGGAGUCUGGGCUUUGCUGCAGAAUGGACAGGACGGGGAGAGAGUAGCAGCUCUGGAAUCGGGACGGUUCAUCCAUGUAAGGUCAUCAUGCUCUUUUCUGUCUGCAGGUGUGUCCUCGGGUCUCUGUUAGGAAUCGCUUCACGAAUGUCUUUGCAUGAUUUUAUUUUGUUUUUCUUGUCUUAUUAAAAACAGGAAGGAAAGGGGCCUGAUUGCAACAUGGUCUUCUAAGCCCUGGAUUCAGAACCUUGACCGUGCAACUUUUAGGGGCCAGCCUGGGGCUGCAUAGUUCUGCAUGCAUUUUCUCAUUCGAUCCUCAAAGUAACCCCAUGGUGAGGUCAGCUGUUAUUUGCCCCAAUGUUCAGAUUAGGAAACCAUU